CAGCAGCCGCGGUAAUACAGAGGGUGCGAGCGUUAAUCGGAUUUACUGGGCGUAAAGCGUGCGUAGGCGGCUAAUUGAGUCGGAUGUGAAAUCCCCGAGCUUAACUUGGGAAUUGCAUUCGAUACUGGUUAGCUAGAGUGUGGGAGAGGAUGGUAGAAUUCCAGGUGUAGCGGUGAAAUGCGUAGAGAUCUGGAGGAAUACCGAUGGCGAAGGCAGCCAUCUGGCCUAACACUGACGCUGAGGUACGAAAGCAUGGGGAGCAAACAGGAUUAGAUACCCCGGUAGUCCAUGUCUCUUAUAC
rnacentral:rRNA from 1 species